CCCCCCGUCGUUCAAUGGAUAGGACAUGAGUUUGCGGAACUCAAGAUUGAGGUUCGAUUCCUCACGGGGGGA
rnacentral:tRNA from 1 species